AUUGAACGCUGGCGGCAUGCCUUACACAUGCAAGUCGAACGGCAGCACGGGUGCUUGCCCCUGGUGGCGAGUGGCGAACGGGUGAGUAAUACAUCGGAACAUGUCCUGUAGUGGGGGAUAGCCCGGCGAAAGCCGGAUUAAUACCGUAUACGAUCUACGGAUGAAAGCGGGGGACCUUCGGGCCUCGCGCUAUAGGGUUGGCCGAUGGCUGAUUAGCUAGUUGGUGGGGUAAAGGCCUGCCAAGGCGACGAUCAGUAGCUGGUCUGAGAGGACGACCAGCCACACUGGGACUGAGACACGGCCCAGACUCCUACGGGAGGCAGCAGUGGGGAAUUUUGGACAAUGGGCGAAAGCCUGAUCCAGCAAUGCCGCGUGUGUGAAGAAGGCCUUCGGGUUGUAAAGCACUUUUGUCCGGAAAGAAAUCCUUGGCCCUAAUACGGUCGGGGGAUGACGGUACCGGAAGAAUAAGCACCGGCUAACUACGUG
rnacentral:rRNA from 1 species